AGUGACAAGACAACAUAAAACUUGUACAAUUUAUACGGAAGUUCUUUCCUUUUAGUAGCUCAUAAAACAAAAAACAAAUACUCGAAUAAAAAAAGUUGUAGGUACACGUAAAACGUGUGUUUCACUCACUAAACAUUAUUAGUCAACAGGCACACGUGAAACUUUGCGCACGUACCGCAAAAUCUCACUCCUGGGGCAAAAAAAUACUGAAUAAACAAUUUUAAUGUACCCUACAUUCUACAAUACAACCCCGAGCUCUUCGCCGAUCCCACACAACACGUGAAGGGUUUCAUCGCUCCUGAAUUAUGAAUAUCAACCAGAAACGCUGUACAUAUUACAUAUUGAUUUAUAUUAACUGCAGUUUUAUGUUACGAAGCCUGGUAAGCCAUAACUCGUGGACGUCCACUUGUAAUUAACAAAUUAACAUCGAGGAUUUUAAUGUUGGGAUCGAAGCGACGUUGAAAAAAUGGCGGAUGAUGUUCGCAAAUGUUGAUGGAUGGGUCAACACAAACAUUCAGAGACUUGCGCAAAGACUCAGAAUCAGGAAAAACAUUCGAAGAUCACACAAGUUUGCUCUAUGCGGGGAAGCCGUGACAGGACAGUGAGUUUGGUGUGAUGGUCGUUUAUCGAUACAAACAACUUUAGAACUGAAUCACUGCAACUCUAUAAUCUCCAGCGCCCAAACACUGCUACAGUACGUAUAGUAUAACGCGAUUCCUAAUGGACGCAAUACAGCUUUUAAUUAUAAGUCAAAGCUGAGGCGAUAUAAUCUCAAUGUUUCUCUACUCUCUUACUUCUUCAAUGCUUGAACUCAUAGUGAAGUAACCGCUCAAUUGCUUUUCUUUAUCGUCAUAAUUACAUGUCAACUAUACCGUCGAGUAAACUUACAAACUACUGAAAUCUUUCCUGACUCAGUAACUAAAAAGUAAUUUUGUAAAUUUGUACAACAUCUACAAGGAACUACUUAACAAGUUCGUUUGAAAAGCGAAUUAAGUUUUUGUUUAUGUUUCAUGCAAAACCAUACUUAAGUUUUAUUUAGCGAAAGAGGAAACCAUAGUUUCAUGUUUACUAUCGCCCGUAUUCAUUUUUCUUUUGUUAUUCCCCUUAUCUUGCCUGACCGUUGUAUGCAAAGCUUUUUAAUAAUAUAAUAUACCCGUUUUAUAUCGUACCUAUGUCUUGAGGAAAAUGUCAGCAAUCUGUGGAGAAAUCCCGCUUUAUUGUUAUUGUACCGCAUUUAUACGAAACUCCGAAAUAGAUAUAAAACAUUGAAUCGGCUAAGAGUAAAUAAAGUCGUAGGACACCCAGCUUUUGUGGACGGGUGGAUAGAAGAGAUAACAAUUAUUGGGACUUUAUACCAGAGUUACGAAUUGACCAAUAAAUUUCGGCUGAAGAAAUAAAAUGUUGAUAUUUGGCGACCGAAAAAAGGAUAACUUCAUGGGAAGAGACCCGGUAGUUCUUAAAGGCUUACCUACAAUUUGAGAACUUUAAUCUAAAAUGUGAUGGAGUCUCUACCAGGGGCCUACAAAACUAUUGUAAUAUUUUAUGAAGAUAUAACUAAUUAGGACUAUUGGUUAUACAAUAUUAUAGUUACGCGAACCAAAUAAUCAGCAAUACUGUUUCAUGCCUCACAACAAUUAUUUAAAAGCCAGUCAUGAGAAACGUCAAUUAUACUCAGCAAAUGCUUUAUUGAACGACCUGGAACAUACACGUAAGCAACUCUGUAUUUAUUUUCGAAUUAAAGUGUAAACGUCAUGAAGUAAGUAUGCGAGUGCUGAGAAAUAAUAGCACUUAUUAUAAUGUAAUAAAAUGCACAAGAACGCUAAAAGCUGUGACAACUUCUGAUGAACUUAAAUGACGUAAUGCAAUCUAUUUUAUCGACCAAUUAAUUCCUGCUGUUUUUUAGGUCGACAAUGGGAUUUUGUGAAAAACUAGUUUUGUAAUAUGGUUUCAAUAUGUUUUCCUGUUUACGCAACAACGUAACAUUACUUCAGAACCAAAAGUAUUUAGAGACUCGUUAUUUGAUGUUUUAAAAUGUUCUCGAAUAUAGUAACGUGGUUGCUAACAUAUUAAUUAAAGAGAUGAAUAGAACACUACUUUUUCAAACUGUAGCCGAUAUUUUGUCCACUAUUACUACUGGGUAAUUAGUCCCUCGAUACGAAGUUAGAUAAAUCAAUGUCCAAAUAGGUAGUCAUCAAUCUUCCUACGCUUUAAGAUGCAAAAUAUAAAAAUCACUUUACGUCAUUUCUCUCAAGUUCUCUCGUAAUUAAAUUGGGCUCAAAGUAGGCUGUCUGUACGAAGACCUUCGAUCUUUCAUGUUUAAAUCCAAUUUUCCUUUUUUCCGCCUCUAAUGAAAACAUGGCCGUUGAACAAGUCAAGUCGAAAAUCGUAUAAAGUUAAAGCAAAACAUCAAAGGUGCAAUGUAAGUAGAGCCGAGAGAGAAAAGUUUAGAAAUGUAAAAACCCUAUAAUUGAAUCAAGUCAUUUUGGAAAAAAAAUAUACUUAAUGAAGACGGCUCAAAUUUUAGUAGGCAAUUUUGAACUAAAAUAUUUCAGAAAAAUACCUCAAACAGUUCAAUCUUUAUCUAAGUAAAAUAUUCUCGUAUAUCCAAACAAGUUUGUUUGAACAUUUUCGUAAUAAAAUCUAUGAUGAAUUUCUUUUAGAGGGCUCUAAAAUUUUAUUCACCGUUGCUCUGGCUCUCGAGACACGAACGAGUGCCGAUGCUCACUGCAGGUUCUUCUGUAAUGUAAGAGGUUAGGGGCAUAAAGUAUUACUGGAUAUGUCAUAAUAAUCUAUGUUCAAAUUGUUGAGUUAAAGUCAGGUUAAGUACUUGGCGUGUUUUGAAUUUGAAGCGAUCGUUAGAAGUUUAUAGAACUUCAAUAUUUUUUUUACAGAUUAAUAUUUUUAUAGUUGAAUACCCUUUGAGCAAGGUUUUUGGAACCAAUUAUGUCAUCUGUACCUAUUAUUUCUUUUCUUAAAUGAGCAGAGGUCUCUUCGCCCUUUUAUUUAAUUGCCUCUUCAUAGUAUCCUAUUCAUAGAUUUAUCACUAUUAAGUGUAAGACGGCAAUAAAAUACAAGUUAAUAAAAAACAUACAUUUUUAAACACAGGAUUUUCAGAUUCCUUUUUUUCUUUGGAGUCACAGUGGGUACUCAAAAAAAUAUUGACUGGAUGGUGAAGUUCUUAUGGCCACUUUCCAGCUUCGUCAGGUCACUUAUUGAUUAUAUUGCUAUGUCAUAUCAUUUUAUUGCAUUGUCACACGGAAACCUAAAGGAAGAUGAAAUUCACCUUGCAAAAUAUAAUUAUAGAUCGACAGUCAGACAGACAGCUGAAACUACAUAACAACUUGAUACAAACCACAACACCCAAAAGAGGAAAAAAAUGAUCAACGCCUAAACCUACGAAAUCCCUACAAAAAUUCUAUAUCACUGGCAGCAAAAUCCUCGCACGGCGCUAAAGAUUUUCAUAUUCAAUUACAAAUAGACAAGUGGCGUCUCAAGUAUCGCCUUUGACGGCUCGACGGUUUAAAGGAUAUUAGGUCCCCUUAUCUGAAGGGACGAAUUAGCUGGAGAGGCGCAAGUAAUGAAUUUUAUAUUUGCACGUGCCUUUUGAAGUGUCCCACCUUUUCGUUAGCCUCUGAUUGAUGUCGUUCUCGAAAUAUUAUAUCUUGCUAAUGCAGAUUGGAUUGAGUGUCGUGUUCCUAUGUUUGACGUUAACUUGAAGUAGGUAUGUGAUGAAAAUUUUCUGGUACUUGGAAAAAGGUAAGGAAUCUUGGUGUGUAUUUUGUUAAAAACACAUAUUAGAUGAA